UCAGGCCUAACACAUGCAAGUCGUACGAGAGUUUUUAACUCUAGUGGCGGACGGGUGAGUAACACGUGAGAAUUUGCCUUUAGGAGGGGGAUAACAAUUGGAAACGAAUGCUAAUACCCCAUAUGCUUUUGAGUGAAAUGGAUUUUAUCUGCCUAGAGAGAAGCUCGCGGCUGAUUAGCUUGUUGGUAAGGUAAGAGCUUACCAAGGCGACGAUCAGUAUCUGGUUUGAGAGGACGAUCAGACACACUGGAACUGAGACACGGUCCAGACUCCUACGGGAGGCAGCAGUGGGGAAUUUUCCGCAAAGGGCGAAAGCCUGACGGAGCAAUACCGCGUGAGCCUAGAAGGCCUAUGGGUUGUAAACCUCUUUUUCAGGGAGGAAAAAAUGAC
rnacentral:rRNA from 1 species